rnacentral:tRNA from 1 species
CAAGAGAUAGUUUAUUUAAAAUAUUAGUUUUGGGGAUUAAUGAUAGGUUUUACCUUCUCUUGA